rnacentral:tRNA from 1 species
GGAGAGGUGGCAGAGUGGCCGAAUGCACCGGUCUUGAAAACCGGCGUCGUGUAACAGCGACCGGGGGUUCGAAUCCCCCCCUCUCCGC